UAUUAUUAUUUGCUCUAAUUCAUCUUUUAAGCAGUUGAUGAAAAAAAAAAAAAACCUUUAUGAAAGACACAUAAUUCUUACCCAUCCAGAAUUAAAAAGGCUCUUGGAAACAGAAACAGGAAAAUGAAGAUGUGAUUGCUAGCACCUUUGAGAAAACAACAAGAUUUGGGCAAAAAAGCAUUGAUAACUGUGUUUUCAGCAAGGAAAUGAAGAUUUCAGAAGGGGAGAUGUUAGAGGUUUAAUAGCCUUCAAAAUAAGCUGAAAGGUACCACUGCCUUGAGGCUCAAGUGAAAGUCGCUGAUUUUAGCUAAGUUGGUACGCUGUCCAUUUACCUUCUCAUGGCUAUGUAUGCAAUGAGGGCUUUUGCAUUGCUGUUGGAGCAGAAAAGAUGGAAAAAAGAAUGGACUAGUGAAAUUUUCAUCAUCUUGUACGGUAAUAAAAGAACAGUGCAGGUGUGUUCUUAAAUUUGACAAGGAAAAAUAUCAGCACAAAAAAUG
rnacentral:lncRNA from 1 species